GAUGAAUUGGUGGAAUUAGAGGGCAGCGCUGUUGAGUAAAAAAACACAUUCUGUAUGUUCUUACUAACAUGUGGAUGAUAAAGAUGUUGAGAAAAAAGAAGAGAGAAUAGAAUUGGAGUCGUGGAAAGCUGAGGUAUGGAGAUCAGCUAUCAAAACAACAUUUUAUGGAAUAAAAGUUUUAGUAUUCUGCAGUAUCACAGGGUGACUAUAGUUUACAACAAUCUAUUAUAUACUUUAUAAAAAGAUAAAAGAGAGUCACCUGAAGGCUCUAAACACAAAUAAUAAUAUAUAAGGAUAUAGAAAUGUUAAUUAACCCAUUUGAUCACUACCUAUACGCAUAAGUACAUGUAUAGAAUUUUAUUGUAUUUCAUAAAUAUAUAGAGUUCUGUGCCAAUUUAAAUAUGAUAAACACAUAAAUGUAAAAGAGCCCCCAUUUUAUUACAGAAUUCUGUUUAUUGUUUUAGGUAUAGUGGUACACAUGGGUAAUCCCAGCACUUGGGAGGUUAGAAGUAGGAUGAUCUGGAAUUCAAGAUCAGCCUUGGCUUCAUAGCAUGUUGGAGUUUAGCCUGAACUACAUGAGACUCUGCCUCAAGAAAUAAAAAACAAUGCAUCGCCCAAAGAUUUAUUUCACACAUUAAAAGUUGUCCAAUAUUUCACAGCUAUCAAGUUGUAAACCAAAGAGUCUAACCUUGUACAGUUUGGCUCCUGGGUCCAGGCUUUCUUGUACAAUGUCUAAUGUUGGAUGUGUUAUGAAGCUUAAGUUUCUUUCCAAGGCCUUGCAUAUGAUCAUGUGUUUGAGAAAAUUUAUAUAAAGCUAUUUAAACUGC
rnacentral:lncRNA from 1 species